rnacentral:rRNA from 1 species
GACGAACGCUGGCGGCGUGCCUAAUACAUGCAAGUCGAGCGGAUUUCUAGGAGCUUGCUCCUAGCGAUUAGCGGCGGACGGGUGAGUAACACGUGGGCAACCUGCCCUGUAGACUGGGAUAACUUCGGGAAACCGGAGCUAAUACCGGAUAAUCAAUGACACCUCAUGGUGUCAUUGUAAAAGUUGGGUUUACCUAACACUACAGGAUGGGCCCGCGGCGUAUUAGCUAGUUGGUGGGGUAAAGGCCUACCAAGGCGACGAUCCAUAGCUGGUCUGAGAGGAUGAUCAGCCACACUGGGACUGAGACACGGCCCAG